rnacentral:lncRNA from 1 species
CCCGAGUUCCAACUGAUAACUGGGUGCCUCAGCUCUUCUCUUACGCCAUUCCAAUAACUUCACCUUCAAUUUCUCCCUUUGCACUAAAACAUGAUCAAGCCAAGGCAGGCAUAUAGUUUGAUUCAACAGAACACCGAGUAGACAUGAGGUAGAGAACAGAUCGACCCCUUAGUUAUGCACUUUGGACUUUAUGAACACCAACGCACGCAAUCUUAAUCAGCCCUUCCCACCCUGAAAGAGAGGAGGUGAACGGGCAAAACUUGUUUAGCACCACAAAAACUAAAACAACAUACAUUAGGAAAGAAACACUUGCAUCCAAUUACAAUGAAUCAAACUGAGAAGAAAAGAUUUUCUCAAAAAUGGACAAUCUAGUUAGAAACUAAACUUCCAUCACCAAAAAAAGUGAAGCUGGGGAAGGGAGUGUUUUACAAAACUACAAAAACUGGGUAAGCAAAGGGGAUUUAUAAGGCAUUGAGAAAGCAGUUAUCGAUUGCAAAGAAAAUCUUGAUAGUAAAUGGUUGAAUCUGUCUCUCUCAGUGGCAUGUUUCUUCAUAGGGCCAAAAUACUUGAUAGUAAAUGGUUGAAUCUGUUUCUCUCAGUGGCAUGUUUCUUCAAAGGGCCAAAAUAAUUGAUCCACUGCCCAGAAACAGCUGGAUGCAAUUAUACAUAUCCUCAGGUGACUCAAUUUUAUAUCUGAUGCAAUGAAUAUCAUAACAUGGAACUGCUCACCCUAAUUUUAAUGUCCAAGGGAAGUCAAAAUAAUAGACUUUUCAUCAUAUUAAUCUCAUGUAUUAAUACAAUGGUGUCAGGAUAAAAAAUGUCACAAGCCUGCAGAAUGCAUUGCCUUAAUAGACGGUUUACACCUGUCUGAAAGGUCAAUUUAUCAGUUCACAGUAACCAAGGUUUCAUACCUUGUGAGGUGGAGUUCCGGGUCUUAAUGCAUUGUUGGUGAAUCCAAACUUUCCUUUCUUCUCUGAAGAUUUAAGGAUCUGAAAAGAACAUGUUAAAGUAUCGUCCACACUCAUCAUGGCGCCUGCAUUGUCAAAUUCACCACAGUAGUUUGGUGC